rnacentral:rRNA from 1 species
GACGAACGCUGGCGGCGUGCUUAACACAUGCAAGUCGAACGGAAAGGCCCUGCUUUUGUGGGGUGCUCGAGUGGCGAACGGGUGAGUAACACGUGAGUAACCUGCCCUUGACUUUGGGAUAACUUCAGGAAACUGGGGCUAAUACCGGAUAGGAGCUCCUGCUGCAUGGUGGGGGUUGGAAAGUUUCGGCGGUUGGGGAUGGACUCGCGGCUUAUCAGCUUGUUGGUGGGGUAGUGGCUUACCAAGGCUUUGGCGGUUAGCCGGCCUGAGAGGGUGACCGGGAACAGGGGAGGUGGGGAACGGCCCAGGAUGGUAGGGGAGGAAGCAGUGGGGAAUAUUGCGCAAGGGGGGGAGGCGGGAGGCAGGCACGGCGUGUGGGGGAUGCCGGCUGUCUGGUGGUACAGCGCUUUGGCCGGUGAGGAAGCGUGGGUGACGGAAGGGGGUAAAGAAGCAGCGGCGAACUGCGUGCCAGCGCCGGCGGAAAUCGAGGGCACACUUCUGCAC